CCUUUAGGCAUCUCCGGACCUUACGAGCACAACCCUCGCAAUGCAUGUAAACCUUUAGGAUAAUUUCUUGUGGAGGUGGAGGUGAUUCCUCUUUGGAUUCCUUUGAAUCAUCUGGUUUUUUCUCUUCUUUCUUUUCUUCUACUGGUGGUUUCUCUGCUGGCUUUUCCUCUUCUUUCUUUUCAGCCUUGUCUCCCUCAGGUUUCUUCGCUUCCUCGGGCUUCUUCUCCUCCAUAUUCUUCUCUUCUCCUGCGGGCUUUUUUUCCUCCUACACAGACGCAAACCCAAAAUCAGAAAACAAUAAAGGUUAAAACAAAAGGUAAAAAAUAUUCAUAGCAGAGCUUCAAGAC
rnacentral:lncRNA from 1 species